GGGAGGUCCAAUAGGAGGCGCCGCGUUGGAACGCCCGAAGAGGUGCUGCUGGGGUGGUUGGAAGCUGUUGGGGGGCGAGUGUAUGGCGGUUAGGCCUGGAAGACGCGAGGACCGCUAGCGCCGUGGGGUCACUCUUCCUCAUGCCACAGGUUGCCGAGCCUCGGGAGAGAGGUGGGGUCCCAGGGGCCAACCCUUGGGUGUGUUGAUGGCAGCAGGCUAACCUAGCCAACGGGGUGCCGCUGCCGGGCAAGGUGAGGAGCAAGAUUUCCAGGGCUGAGAGGGCCAGGACCCCAAGGAGAGGGCUUACUGCGAGGAGCAGCCCAGGAUGGAUAAGGAGUUGAGGCCCCAGGGAUGCUGAGCCUGCACAAGUGGAAGUGACUGGCUACCAGACUCUGAAAAACCUAAGUCCUUUAGGUGAGUGGAGCUAAGAGUUGAAACAUCAGUAGUGGGGUCAGGAACCCCAGAAGUGUGGCCAAAUGUUCGAGGAGUUGAUCCACCUGUUGCACCUGAAAAGCCACAGGGAUCUGAGGAAUCCGAGACCUUUUGCUUGGUGAACUCAGGCUGAGACAUUACCAGAGGAAAAACUGAACACUUAAUGCCACAGAACGCAACACACUGUCAUUGUUUACAUUAAGUAGGAAUUUCGAUUUAGGCACAAGCCAAAAGCAGGGCACGCCUAGCCCUUCCGCAGCCUCCAAACUUCUGAGACUAACAUUGCUGUCGCAGAAAACCACUUGCAAAUAAACUGGCUUCUCCGUAUUUAUUAGGGAAGACCACAAAGGCAUCCAACCACAGUUUGCGCUGCAGCCCGGCAGAACUAAGUCUUGGGCGCCGCGACGCCUUUCCUACGGAAUCGGUCCUGGAAGGAAGACCAUUUAAGGUAUCCUUCUAUCAUCAUCCUUUUCUUAGGAGUUAAGAACCUGACCGUCAUUCAUCUCAAGCCCUCAAAACGCUUUACUAUUCCUCCAAAUCAUUGUCAUCCGAAUAAUUCAAGCCGGCGCAAAACGAGACACGCACACCAGGAAAAAAAAAAAGCAAUUUCCAAGUCGGAUGAGAUUUUUUAAAGACAUUUCACUUAUCGGUCUUUCCUCCCAGGACUGGCCAGGAGAGCACGCCUUCCCUUCUGAAGGUGCGUUACCAGAUUGCGGCCGUUUUUGUGCUGGGUCAUCAGAGCAGAUUCCCCUCCAGGUUACAGAUUCUAAACUUAACUCCACCCGAGCUGAAAAUGGCCGGAGCACGCCGCCUCGCCUCCCCUCCCCAAGGCUGCCGAAGCCGCCGGCCCCUGCCUCCUUUUCGACUGAUCGUCCAAGGACUGUCGCCGGAUCCAACACCUUUCCCCAGCUCUGUGCGUACCGCGCUCUUUGGAAACGAAUUACUUCAGUGUGCUGAAAGUUCUCCCAUUGAGAGCACUUAUGCAGUUGAGUGAACUAUCUGCGUGAAAGUGACAUUUGCUCAUCUGUCUUUCUUGCUGAAGUCAUCAUCUAAAGGGUCCCUGUCUGCUUCCAAGGGUCCCUGGAACCUUCUGCAGCUGUGCCUCUCCAGAGCUCCGCCUCAUUAGUGCCACGUUCUUGAAAACCAUGGUACUUCAACCUCUUCUAGAUGGGAGUUAACCUUUGCCCUGUGAAUGAAAGGUUUGAUAAGCAAACAGAGUUUGGUGAACAAGAUCCUUGUGGAGGUAAGAGCUGAUCUCUGACGUCCACUGGGACCUGGCUGCUCUGCAGGUUUCCGUAUCACAUCUUCUGCACAUGUCUAUUAGAAUUGGAGUUGGGGCGUAUCUAGUUUUGAAUAAAGGCCCAGCAGGCCCUCUCAGAUGCACCCUGUCA